rnacentral:misc_RNA from 1 species
UCCGGUUUGUCACCGGCAGUCCCAUUAGAGUGCUCAACUGAAUGUAGCAACUAAUGGCAAGGGUUGCGCUCGUUGCGGGGCUUAACCCAACAUCUCACGACACAAGCUGACGACAGCCAUGCAGCACCUGUGCGGCCGUCCCGAAGGACGCCCAAGGUUUCCCUUAGGCUUCGGCCGCAUGUCAAGCCUAGGUAAGGUUCUUCGCGUUGCGUCGAAUUAAACCACAUGCUCCACCGCUUGUGCGGGCCCCCGUCAAUUCCUUUGAGUUUCAGCCUUGCGGCCGUACUCCCCAGGCGGGGCACUUAAUGCGUUAGCGCCGGCCCUCACGGGGUCGCUCCCCCAAGGACCUAGUGCCCAUCGUUUACGGCGUGGACUAC